UGUUAUAUCUAUACCAUGAAUUCAGAAACAGUGGUAAAAUAUGGUCAUAACAAACAGUAUGUGUAUAUAUACACACACGUAUACACAUACACACAUUAUACAUACACGUACCUCAUACACACACACACCUCAUACACACACACCCACACACCCACACCCACCACUAUCAUAAACUUCUGCUUUUAUUUGGCUGGUAAUAUGUACAAAUGAAUAUUUCUGAUUUGUUAGCUUUCUUGGCAUAUUUCUGUCUAAUUUUUUUAAUCUCUCCUCCUUCUUUUCAGAUAAGAAAAACAUGCUCUCUCUUCUCUAAUGAUUGGACAGACUCCUACUCCAAAACAGAAGAUCUCAACUCUGGAAGGUUAGGAAAUCUGUGAGCAGAGGGGGCUGUUUUGCUUUAUGUAUGUAUAAUUUUUGGCAAUUAUUGCCCAUCCAUGUGGCCAACUAAGGACUUUUAUUAUCUUCUUCUUCUGGGAUCAUCCUAACAGAGAACCUGAGGUUUGGGCUUGGGCACAGGUGGUUUAUUUGGGAGUGCAGACAGUAAGACAGGGAGGAAAUGGGAGUGAUGAUUCGUGAGUUAUUGAGCUUUUGCCACUGAGGGAAUUGGAGCUCGAUCCUGCCAGGGACACUCAAGCAUCACAGGGACAUGCCUCAGAACUGCCCAUCUAAAGAAUGACACACUGCAGGUUUUAGUCACUAAUUUUAUUCUCCAUUGGUUGAAGGUUUGUCCCAGAGGAAGU
rnacentral:lncRNA from 1 species